CCUACGGGCUGCUGCAGUGGGGAAUAUUUCACAAUGGGGGAAACCCUGAUGCAGCGACGCCGCGUGCGCGAUGAAGUAUUUCGGUAUGUAAAGCUCUAUCAGCAGGGAAGAAAAUGACGGUACCUGACUAAGAAGCCCCGGCUAACUACGUGCCAGCAGCCGCGGUAAUACGUAGGGGCCGAGCGUUAUCCGGAUUUACUGGGUGUAAAGGGUGCGUAGACGGCUGUGCAAGCCAGAUGUGAAAGCCCGGGUCUCAACCCCGGGACUGCAGUUGGAACUGUGUGGCUGGAGUGUCGGAGAGGCAGGCGGAAGUCCUAGUGUAGCGGUGAAAUGCGUAGAUAUUAGGAGGAACACCAGUGGCGAAGGCGGGUUGCUGGACGAUGACUGACGUUGAGGCUCGAAAGCGUGGGGAGCAAACAGGAUUAGAUACCCUUGUAGUC
rnacentral:rRNA from 1 species